AUUCCGGUAAAAACAUAACCCGAGGCAUUCUAGCGGAGAAUCUCAACUUUUCAAGAUUUUGGCACGAGAGCUGAAGCAACGAGACAGAACUUCCAGCAAGCGGGAAUCCUAGCGGAUUAACAGUAACAAAGGUAAGCAGCCAGUCAUAUAGUGGUUUGCUUGAUGGACAGGCGGAGGCAAGGGUGGCGGAAAUGUCAUGGGUACACGGGAGUGGUCUUUACUACGCUCGCUUAGAAAACAAUUUCCGCUGCAGAUUAAUGUAAUAUAGAAUACUAGUAUGUAUGUUCAGUUCUAAGAAGAAGAUAUUACAACCAUUGUCUUAGUAAAGAACAACGGACUAUAAUAAGUUAAGACAAGU